rnacentral:tRNA from 1 species
UCCCCGAUAGCUCAGUGGUAGAGCAGUUGACUGUUAAUCAAUUGGUCGGCGGUUCAAGUCCGUCUCGGGGAGCCA